UACAGAGGGGGCAAGCGUUAUUCGGAAUUAUUGGGCGUAAAGGGCGCGUAGGCGGCCUGGCAAGUGGAAGGUGAAAUCCCUCGGCUUAACCGAGGAACUGCCCUCCAAACUGCUUGGCUUGAGUCCGGGAGAGGUGAGUGGAAUUCCCAGUGUAGCGGUGAAAUGCGUAGAUAUUGGGAGGAACACCAGUGGCGAAGGCGGCUCACUGGACCGGAACUGACGCUGAGGCGCGAAAGCGUGGGGAGCAAACAGG
rnacentral:rRNA from 1 species